AAAAAGAUUCGUCAAGUUUUUUCUUCAAUUUUGCUUUUUUGACACCAAGAGGUCGAUCCGAUGAUGUAUAAUCUCCUGCAAUAUCCUCAUUUAAAUGGAUUGAAAAAGAUGAUAAGUUUGGAGAUGGUACCAUAGGUGAGUCAGGAGUAGGAUUGUCCGACUCUGAGGACACAUAAGAAGAGCUUUGAUUUUGAACUAUUUUUUUUAGAGCUACAAUCUUUA
rnacentral:lncRNA from 1 species